CAGUCGCCACGGUAAUACAGAGGGUGCGAGCGUUAAUCGGAUUUACUGGGCGUAAAGCGUGCGUAGGCGGCUUUUUAAGUCGGAUGUGAAAUCCCUGAGCUUAACUUAGGAAUUGCAUUCGAUACUGGAAAGCUAGAGUAUGGGAGAGGAUGGUAGAAUUCCAGGUGUAGCGGUGAAAUGCGUAGAGAUCUGGAGGAAUACCGAUGGCGAAGGCAGCCAUCUGGCCUAAUACUGACGCUGAGGUACGAAAGCAUGGGGAGCAAACAGGAUUAGAUACCCCUGUAGUCCCUGUCUCUUAUAC
rnacentral:rRNA from 1 species